rnacentral:rRNA from 1 species
GAUGAACGCUGGCGGCGUGCCUAAUACAUGCAAGUCGAGCGAACGGACGAGAAGCUUGCUUCUCUGAUGUUAGCGGCGGACGGGUGAGUAACACGUGGAUAACCUACCUAUAAGACUGGGAUAACUUCGGGAAACCGGAGCUAAUACCGGAUAAUAUUUUGAACCGCAUGGUUCAAAAGUGAAAGACGGUCUUGCUGUCACUUAUAGAUGGAUCCGCGCUGCAUUAGCUAGUUGGUAAGGUAACGGCUUACCAAGGCAACGAUGCAUAGCCGACCUGAGAGGGUGAUCGGCCACACUAGUACUGAGACACGGUCCAGACUCCUACGGGAGGCAGCAGUAGGGAAUCUUCCGCAAUGGGCGAAAGCCUGACGGAGCAACGCCGCGUGAGUGAUGAAGGUCUUCGGAUCGUAAAACUCUGUUAUUAGGGAAGAACAUAUGUGUAAGUAACUGUGCACAUCUUGACGGUACCUAAUCAGAAAGCCACGGCUAACUACGUG